AUGGUCACCGCCUCGCCGGGAGAUAUAAGCUGCAUUGGGGGCCUCGCGGUAGGCGAUCGCCUUCUUCCUUCCCAAUUUCCCCAUCCAAUCCUCCCCACUCCCCCAUCCAAUCCAAGAUCGAUCGCAGGAGCAGCUCGCGGGAAAGCCGCCGCCGCCAUGGCCGCGCAGAUGCUCCACCGGUGGAAUAGCUUCUACGGCGCCUUCGACCCCGUGGACGCCGCCAUCGAGGCCGCCGACCCAGACCAAUUUUCCCGCCACGUGUUCCAGCGCGCGAGGGGGGACCUGUUGGUAGGGCUCUGCAACGCCGCCGACGACGACCAGGCGGAGCGUAUCUGCGGGAUUCUCGACGACCUCAUGGCAGAGUCUCUCGAGACGCUCAGGGUGGUUCCAUCAACGCCGGGGGUGCCCAUCUCCACGGAGCUCGCCGAGUCUGUGCGCGCGCUGCGGGAGCACGACUCGGAGCGCGUCCGCCUCCUCGCGCGCGGCAUCGUGAGCGGGUGGGAGACCUCCAUCCAGGACGAGGUCGCCGAGGUCACACCAGCCAUGAAGAAGCUGCCGCAGCCCAAGGCGACCGUCGGCCAGCAGCAGCGUGCCUCCGCCGAUCCUAACGUGAAGGCGAAGCGACGAGAUCAUCAAAAAGGUGUCCGAUCCUGCCGCCGGCUUCGUCGACGGUGA
rnacentral:rRNA from 1 species